AUUCCACUUUCCCAUUUCAUUUUGCAAUAGCCCUAACUCCUUUAGCCGCUCUCUCUCCUUCCAUCACAGGUCUCGCCCUUCUAGAUUACAAUCUAUAUACACACACAAACACACACAUAUAUAUAUAUAUACACACACAUGUCGUAUGGUUCAGUGUGAUUGCUGUGUUUAGCUGAUUGAAGAGCUUUACGUUUCAUGAAUUUGUGUUGAUCUGUUUGGGCGAGAACUGUCUAAGAGUUUGUUGAGUUUGGUACAUAUAUAGGUAUAUCUGGAACUCAAUCUAGAUUUGAGGGUUUUAGUCUUGCCCUUCUAUCACCAGUGGUUUAGAGAGACAAAGUCAUUGCUACUACGUCAAAUGGGGUUUUUGGAAGGUUCUGCAGAGCUCUGAUGGCUGCGGCCGCGGGCAUUCCUAAGGACACUCGGGAAACCAGGGUCUUGAAGGUUGGACCCAUCUCCCCGGAGCUGAAAAAAUUUCUAGGAGUCCCUUCAACGUGUCGCACCGAUGCCGUGAGAAAGGUGUGGGCACACAUAGUGCAGCACAAGCUUCAGAUGGGACUAGUUGGUUAGAACUGGAGGAAGCUGUUGAAGAUGGUCCCGUAUCAGGUUUUGGGAAAAAGCUAAGCUCAAUCUUAGAAACCUAUAUUUCAGAGUAAGUUUUCAGUCCCUAUUAUAUGAAAUUAAAUAAAAAUCUUCCUAAACAAGGAAAGUUUUCAUUGCUGACCUCUCUAAUCUGAAGGCAUUUUUAAAAAUUGAAGAACUGUCAAUAAAAUGUACGAACCAUUAAUCUGUUAUUGUAUGACUGCAUCAUUCAAAUAAGAUGGAUUAUUCAUUAUUCAAAAGGCUUAGAAUCUUUUUAGGGAAAGCAACUGGUGAACCUAUUUUACCGUUUAUAGAAAUAUGCCAAUUAUAUUGUGACAUCUUUCAGAAGUUAAAAGACCCUUCAAAAUAUACUACUGUAGAAUUGGUUCCAAAUUGAUUGUUAUCCUCUCCUUAUAUUUUUUUAUUUUUAUUUGUUUACAUGUUAUUUUUGUCUAGUUAUUAUUAUUUUGUCACUUAUUGUAUUGUCUUAAUAAAUAGUCAUCUCAGUUAUGCUCCAAAACUUCAUGCAACGCUUGUUUUGCAAAUUGAAUACUUGACAUUAUUCUAAAUGUUAAGGGUGCUUAAUCUGGUAACUUUGAUGUCUUUAAGUCCCACUGAACUGGCAUGUGUUAUGGGAGGCAUGACUUAUAGUAAAAAAGAAUGAAAGAAGAUAAUUUAUGUGGCCAAUCCCAUUUGAUUUGGACCAAGGCAAAAUUGAUGAUCAUUAAUGGUUUUGUGCUUCUCAAGAACUCAUUCUUGUAUUGGUUCUGCUUUUUAGGGGUGGAAAGUUCAAGUGAAAGUAAAAAUUAAGACCUGUUGUACUUGUUUCAGUUUUUGUCCUUUUGAACUUUCUAAAACUUUAUAAUACUUUUCUGAAAUCAAAAUUGGAAAUGUUGAUUUUUUUGCUCUAAUCCUCUUGUUUAUUUUUUGAGAUAAUGUUCCUUUACUAAAUUGAUUUGGAUUACUCUACGUUUUUGUUUAUAUGCAUAUGAACUGGAGGCCAUGUACUUUGAUAAAGGCGUGAGAGAUGCAAAACGACGAGAAUUGGAGUCGAAAAUGUUGCAGGAUUGAUUAUCACUAGUUCAUUAGGAGCAAAAGAAUCAGAAUUUCUAUGAUUCCAGUCUACAACAAAGCUACUUCCUUGGAUUUUGUACCGUGGAUUUUGCAGCUACUUCCUUGGAUUUUGUAUAGUGAGGUGGUUUUCUGACAAGUGCAGACUGAAACUCAAGUGCUAGAAGGUUUAUCAAUUUUUUAACGUAAGUGUUAAGAAAUUAAUGAUUUCUUGACAAAUGGAUUUAUUUCCUGUUUUGGAACAUUGUAAAUGUUGAAUUGUUUUGGCACAUUAAUAAAUGAUGAAUUGUAAAAAUGUUUUAACUCUUUUGAUAUAUUUAAUGGAAUAUGUAUAUUUUUUGAAUUGAA